UUGGCCCUGAAUCAAGGCCAGCAGUUUGCUGAAGCUGUUGGUUUCAAACAGGAGCCUAAAGAAAUGUCUUUCUAUGGUCUGUUGGCCAUUUCAAAACUUUGGAAAUGUAAUGGUCAAUUCAUUAGAAAGAAAUAUCU
rnacentral:snoRNA from 1 species